rnacentral:lncRNA from 1 species
UGUGUGACCCAGGAGGGGUGCCUUGCAAGCUGGCGUGACCCCGGCCAAGGCCAGGACAGACAACGACGCUCCUUUCCUCUCUUUUGCAGUCACACAGAACGCCUUCUGCAGUUUCUGCUCCGUGAGUUGGCAGCAGUGGCUUCUGUGAAACAGGCAGGCAGGCAGGCAGGCAGGCAGGCAGACCCCUCUGAAAGAAGAGCAGAACAAUUUAGAACCCACAUGGAGGAUUUAGGGUCAGCAAGAAGCCAGCAAUAAACAGGUAUGGAGUCCCCCAAAACCCUUUUGUUUAAAAAAACUGGCAGCAGUGGCUUCUGUGAAACAGGCAGACAGGCAGGCAGACCCCUUUGAAAGAAGAGCAAAAUGAUUUAGAACCCACGUGGAGGAUUUAGGGUCAGCAAGAAGACCUUGUACCAUUUAGCCAGCAAUAAACAGAAAGGUAGCGUUAAUGACAAAGGGAGAGGCGAGUUGCAAAACAGUUCAUUCUUGAAGGUGAAUUUUAGAAACGCAGCAAAAGUUUCCGCUGUCAGAAGGAAUCUUCCAAUGGCGUCUCACAGGUUUCCGCUCAUCCGAUUAUUUUUUGCAGGAACUGGACACAAGACCCCUAAGAUGGGUUGUUGUCGGCUUCUAGAGGAGGAGCCGAGAAGGCCAAGACAUCAUCAUCAUCAUCAUCCAGCGGAGCCAAGAACAGCCAAACCCUUUCCGCCCACCGAGGAUCGCUGGCGGCCUCUUCUCGCAUCUUUUUCUGGGCUGGCUGCAAACACCUGCUUUGCUCCUGACU